rnacentral:rRNA from 1 species
UGGGGAAUAUUGCACAAUGGGCGAAAGCCUGAUGCAGCGACGCCGCGUGAGGGAUGACGGCCUUCGGGUUGUAAACCUCUUUCAGUAGGGACGAAGCGCAAGUGACGGUACCUGCAGAAGAAGCACCGGCUAACUACGUGCCAGCAGCCGCGGUAAUACGUAGGGUGCGAGCGUUGUCCGGAAUUACUGGGCGUAAAGAGCUCGUAGGCGGUUUGUCACGUCGUCUGUGAAAUCCUAGGGCUUAACCCUGGACGUGCAGGCGAUACGGGCUGACUUGAGUACUACAGGGGAGACUGGAAUUGCUGGUGUAGCGGUAGAAUGCACAGAUAUCAGGAAGAACACCGAUGGCGAAGGCAGGUCUCUGGGUAGUAACUGACGCUGAGGAGCGAAAGCAUGGGUAGCGAACAGG